rnacentral:tRNA from 1 species
GCUGGAAUGGCUCAAUUGGUAGAGCUACUGAAUCGUAAUCAGUGGGUUGCGGGUUCGACUCCUGUUUCCAGCACCA